CCACUCUUGAUCCAACAGUGUUUGAUGAUCCAUCCACAUGCAUGGUCUACAAUUCUUUGGGCUCCUCUUCAGAUGGAUCUUCCUUCGGUGGCUCACCUUCCUUCGAGUCCUCUUCGAGUAUGGUGCAUUCUAAGAUGAAGUCGGCCAAUAUUUGCACCUUGAUGGAAGGAUGAGGUCAGAACUUUAUAUCAAACUCUAUGAGUUUGAUUGCCCACUUUGAUAGCUGAUUUGAUGUAUCUAGUUGAUAUAAGAUAGGUU
rnacentral:lncRNA from 1 species